CCGCACGAGCGCACCCUCAUCCUUAGUUGCCAUCAUUUAGUUGGGCACUUUAAGGAAACUGCCGGUGAUAAGCCGGAGGAAGGUGGGGAUGACGUCAAGUCCUCAUGGCCCUUACAGGCUGGGCUACACACGUGCUACAAUGGUAUCUACAGUGAGCAGCGAUCCCGCAAGGGUUAGCUAAUCUCCAAAAGAUAUCUCAGUUCGGAUUGUUCUCUGCAACUCGAGAGCAUGAAGGCGGAAUCGCUAGUAAUCGCGGAUCAGCAUGCCGCGGUGAAUACGUUCCCAGGCCUU
rnacentral:rRNA from 1 species